AGUGUUCACAAGAAAGCAUAGAACCAGAUGUGAUUAAUUGGAUACAAGUGAUCGAUACAUGUUCUUACAGCAAUUUUCAAGUUAAAAGUACCCCCUAAAACUAUAGAUUAAUAUGAAGCACAAGUAAAACUGUCCAGGAAGGUAAAUGUGGAUGCUCUUGAAUGUCAUUCCAGCUCUUGGGAAAGGAUGAGACAAAAAGAUUGCCUUGACUUCAAGGUCAGCUCCGUCUACAUAGCAAGUUUAUCCAGACUGCACUGAAAAGAUGGAGACUAUCUCACAAAAUAAGGAACCCAGCUGAAGAGCAGGCAGAAUGUAAGAGCCAGAGGAAUGGAGGACACCAGGAGAUCAAUCAGCUGAACCAAGCUCAUAAUAACUGGGAGCUGAAACAGGAAGCCCCAUGACACAGUUGAUCGAAAAUGACACAGACACAGAAAAAUCAGGACGUGCCCCCAGCAGCACCCCUACCUGCUGCCUGCUGAUCACGGCUGGGAGGCCCGUCCAGGGUUCCCACCCGGGAACGGACUCUUAGCUACUCAGUGCUCACGGGUGCUGGGCCUGCAGAGCUUUUCGGAUGCUCUCUUACAGCUGGUUUGUUAUCUUUUAAUCAAUCAACUAAUUAAUCUAUUACUUUAUUUAUUGGCCCUCCCCAUGUCUUGAUCCUUUCUUCAUUAAAAGCAAAAG
rnacentral:lncRNA from 1 species